AAAAUGUUAGGGAGGAGGGAGGAGCCUGUGGGGGUGGGAACGGGGGCGGGCAGGGUGGGAUAUAACCGGGAUGAGGAGCCCCCGGUGCUCACAGCCCAGCGUGGAGCUGCUUCUUCCCAGCCCUGACCCAGGUGAAGCAGUGGCUAGAAGAAAUGAGCUUGUUGAGGAAAGCUGGAAAACACUUAGGUGGCGGCAUAGUAUCUGCGAUUAUUUGGUAUGUGGUUGAGAAAGUCCUAGACCUGAUAUUCGACAAAUCCACAGGGACAAAUGUGGAGGGCAAAACACCCAUGGAACGUGACAUAGAUGAAGACUUCCAGAAGCCCAGUUUCAGGGUGCCGAAGUUCACGGACAUCAACAGUAUGAGCCGGUGAAGCCAAAUUUAUUAUCCCUAAGAGGGCUAUAUUUAUAGUAAGUUUCUACUGUCCACGCAUCUCUAGCUAAUACAUGAUUGGUUAAUCCUAGCUGUUCACAUGUCUAAAAUAAAAUGCUGAUUGGAUCAUCUAA